AGUGAACGCUGGCGGUAGGCCUAACACAUGCAAGUCGAACGGCAGCACAGUAAGAGCUUGCUCUUACGGGUGGCGAGUGGCGGACGGGUGAGGAAUACAUCGGAAUCUACUUUUUCGUGGGGGAUAACGUAGGGAAACUUACGCUAAUACCGCAUACGACCUACGGGUGAAAGCAGGGGAUCUUCGGACCUUGCGCGAUUGAAUGAGCCGAUGUCGGAUUAGCUAGUUGGCGGGGUAAAGGCCCACCAAGGCGACGAUCCGUAGCUGGUCUGAGAGGAUGAUCAGCCACACUGGAACUGAGACACGGUCCAGACUCCGACGGGAGGCAGCAGUGGGGAAUAUUGGACAAUGGGCGCAAGCCUGAUCCAGCCAUACCGCGUGGGUGAAGAAGGCCUUCGGGUUGUAAAGCCCUUUUGUUGGGAAAGAAAAGCAGCAGGUUAAUACCCCGCUGUUCUGACGGUACCCAAAGAAUAAGCACCGGCUACCUUCGU
rnacentral:rRNA from 1 species